rnacentral:rRNA from 1 species
AGAAGUUACUUCGGUACAUCGGUGACAGGUGUGCAUGGUUGUCGUCAGCUCGUGUCGUGAGAUGUUGGGUUUAAGUCCCGCAACGAGCGCAACCCCUAUUGUUAGUUGCCAUCAUUCAGUUGGGCACUCUAGCGAGACUGCCGGUAAUAAACCGGAGGAAGUGGGGAUGACGUCAAAUCAUCAUGCCCCUUAUGACCUGGGCUACACACGUGCUACAAUGGUUGGUACAACGAGUUGCGAGUCGGUGACGGCGAGCUAAUCUCUUAAAGCCAAUCUCAGUUCGGAUUGUAGGCUGCAACUCGCCUACAUGAAGUCGGAAUCGCUAGUAAUCGCGGAUCAGCACGCCGCGGUCGAAUACGUUCCCGGGCCUU